UUUCUGCUAGCUUUUAUAAUUUUUAGGGCAGGUUUGGAUGUUCAAUAUCAAUGGAGUGAUUCUUUUGCUUUCCUGAGAUGAGAGUUGAGAGGAAACAGAAUCAUUUUAGGGACACGUCAGUAAAUCUAAAGCCACAAUUUCACUUAAGUUGAUGUCCAGAAAAUAAAGAAAUUAAUUCAACUCAAAAGCUAAUGGUUUGUGAACAUACCAUAAUAACUAAAUUUUAGUGGGAUGUUCUAGUGUGCCUCAGCUUAUUUUGGGCAACUUGCAGCUAAGUUGUUUUCUGGUCAUGUUGAUGCUUAGUUACUAAGUUAUGAGCUUGCUUGGGCUCAUAUCUUAUCUGUUUUUAUAAAAUGCACUAAUUUCGGAGGUUUCUUUUGCUUUUUUGUUGCUUUUACACGUGUUUCUUCCUUUGCACUUUGUCAAAUUUCUUAUAAAGGAAAAAUCAAAAUAAUAUUUCAUGAAAACAAGCAAACAGCUACAUUGUAAUACCAGUUCAAGCAUAAUCCUUGGCAACCCUUUGAACAAUUUACCUAAAGAUAGUGAUCUCUACAUAGCAAAACGAAACGAAGCUUUACACAAAUAUGAGAUCUUGUUAGAGUUGGAGAAGA